ensembl:lncRNA
CACACAGGAGCAGGGUUUCUAGGGUGAGGCAAUGCGUCUGCAAUUCGCAGAGACAAGGCAGGAAUUGUAAUUGCAGUUCAUCAUGUGAUGACUUAUGAAAGAGGAAGUUGGUAUGUUUUAGUCACGUAGACGCUGCCCUCUUGCUUAAAAGGCUCCAGAUCUUCUCAAAAGAGAACUCUGAUCAUCUCUGCCACUCCAAGUCAAGGUUACCAGGUUGGCUGUUCCUAUGUGGCCAGACAGGCUGAUGCCAGAAGCUGAAAACCUAAGAUCGUGAAAAAUUAAGUGAUUUUCUUGCAGUAACAUUAAAGAUGAGUGCCAGAACUGAAAUGCAGGUAAAUCGUGGUGGGGACUUUCCUGGUGGUAUGGUGGAUAGGAAUUCGCCUGCCAGUGCAGGGACCAAGGGCUUGAUCCCUGAUCUGGGAAGAUCCCACGUGCCACGGAGCGACUAAGCCCAUGUACCACAACUACUGAGCCCUGCAUGCCUAAAGCCUGUGCUCCGCAGCAAGAGAAGCCACCACCACGAGAAGCCUUUGCACCACAACUAGAGAAAGCUGGAGAACAGCAACAAGGACCCGGUGCAGCAACAACAGCAAAAUUUUUAAAAAUGUGAAGGUGGGAAGCAUUUACAUGUGGUGGUUGUUUCAUUUCAACUAUUCUUCAAAAACGGGGGCGAGAAAAGCCAAGUUCUCUAGUUUUCAUAUAAAGAUGACUCAAUUUAUUUGAAAAUGAGUGUUCCAGAAUCAGACUUCCAGAUUCCAUGAAUUCAGAGUGUGGAAAAGGACAAGCAGCUCCCUUUAGCUGUAACAGGAGACAUUCUUUUAAAAGCCUGGAAUGCUGAAGCUCUCUU